rnacentral:rRNA from 2 species
AACUUUCAACAACGGAUCUCUUGGCUCUUGCAUCGAUGAAGAACGCAGUGAAAUGCGAUAAGUAAUGUGAAUUGCAGAAUUCAGUGAAUCAUCGAAUCUUUGAACGCAUCUUGCGCUCCUUGGUAUUCUGAGGAGCAUGCCUGUUUGAGUGUCAUCA